UACGUAGGGGGCAAGCGUUGUCCGGAAUUAUUGGGCGUAAAGCGCAUGUAGGCGGUUCGGUAGUCUGUUGUGAAAGCUCCCGGCUCAACUGGGAGAGGUCAACGGAAACUGCCGGGCUUGAGUGUGGUAGAGGUAGCUGGAAUUCCCGGUGUAGCGGUGAAAUGCGUAGAUAUCGGGAGGAAUACCUAUGGCGAAAGCAGGCUACUGGACCAUCACUGACGCUGAUCUGCGAAAGCUAGGGGAGCAAACAGG
rnacentral:rRNA from 1 species